rnacentral:tRNA from 1 species
GGCACAUUAGCUCAGUGGUUAGAGCAUCAUAUCCAAUGAUUUUAAAGGUAGUUGGAAUGAAGGUCACUGGUUCAAAUCCAGUAUGUGCUUCA